rfam:TPA: Bos taurus chromosome 15, whole genome shotgun sequence.
UCCCUCAUAGCUCAGUUGGUAAAGAAUCCGCCUGCAACGCGGGAGACCCCGGUUCAGUUCCUGGGUAGGGAA